ACAGGGAUUGCCCUAGUAACGGCGAGUGAAGCGGCAACAGCUCAAAUUUGAAAUCUGGCUCUUUUAGGGCCCGAGUUGUAAUUUGCAGAGGGCGCUUUGGCUUUGGUAGCGGUCCAAGUUCCUUGGAACAGGACGUCACAGAGGGUGAGAAUCCCGUACGUGGUCGCUAGCUAUUGCCGUGUAAAGCCCCUUCGACGAGUCGAGUUGUUUGGGAAUGCAGCUCUAAAUGGGAGGUAAAUUUCUUCUAAAGCUAAAUAUUGGCCAGAGACCGAUAGCGCACAAGUAGAGUGAUCGAAAGAUGAAAAGCACUUUGGAAAGAGAGUCAAACAGCACGUGAAAUUGUUGAAAGGGAAGCGCUUGCAGCCAGACUUGCUUGCAGUUGCUCAUCCGGGCUUUUGCCCGGUGCACUCUUCUGUAGGCAGGCCAGCAUCAGUUUGGGCGGUGGGAUAAAGGUCUCUGACACGUUCCUUCCUUCGGGUUGGCCAUAUAGGGGAGACGUCAUACCACCAGCCUGGACUGAGGUCCGCGCAUCUGCUAGGAUGCUGGCGUAAUGGCUGUAAGCGGCCCGUCUUGAAACACGGACCAAGGAGUCUAACAUCUAUGCGAGUGUUUGGGUGUCAAGCCCGAGCGCGUAAUGAAAGUGAACGGAGGUGGGAACCCGCAAGGGCGCACCAUCGACCGAUCCUGAAGUUUACGGAAGGAUUUGAGUAAGAGCAUGGCUGUUGGGACCCGAAAGAUGGUGAACUAUGCUUGAAUAGGGUGAAGCCAGAGGAAACUCUGGUGGAGGCUCGCAGCGGUUCUGACGUGCAAAUCGAUCGUCAAAUUUGGGCAUAGGGGCGAAAGACUAAUCG
rnacentral:rRNA from 1 species